AACGAACGCUGGCGGCAGGCUUAACACAUGCAAGUCGUACGAGAAGCUAGACUUCGGUUUAGUGGAAAGUGGCGCACGGGUGAGUAACGCGUGGGGACCUACCAUUCUGUGGGGGAUAACUAUUGGAAACGAUAGCUAAUACCGCAUACGCCCUUCGGGGGAAAGAUUUAUCGCAGAAUGAUGGACCCGCGUCUGAUUAGCUAGUUGGUGAGGUAAGAGCUCACCAAGGCGACGAUCAGUAGCUGGUUUGAGAGGAUGAUCAGCCACACUGGGACUGAGACACGGCCCAG
rnacentral:rRNA from 1 species